rnacentral:rRNA from 1 species
UAUUUUUAUUUAAUAUAGAGAUUGGAGACUACGAGCUAUGGCUUAAAAACUAAAGAAAAUGGCGGUAUUUUAUUUAAUCAGGGUGGCAUGUAGUUUAAUUUGAUAGUCCACGAUUUUUAACCCUAAUUUUGAAUUACAGUAUGUGUACUGCCGUAAGAUGUAAUUUUAUUGAAUUAUGGGUUUUAUUUAAGGGCUAAUAUACAAAUUUGUAUUAAUACUUCUUUAAAUAUAAAUUCAGGUCUAAGUGCAAUUUAUGAUUAGGGGUACAUAUGUGCUACAUUUAUAUAAUUAUUCGACCAUGUUAUUAAUUAGUGUGUAAGGAGAACUUGAUAGUAAUUAAGUUAAUUAAAUUUAAUGAAUUUAAAUUAAAAUGUG